GAGCUCCCCGGAGACGCUGACGGGGACAGGAGAGGGACAGGGGUGUCCCAGGUGUGUCCCAAAUGUCCCCAGGUGUGUCCCAGGUGUCCCCAAAUGUCCCCCAGGUGUCCCUUCCCCACUCCAGGUGUGUCUUGAUCCCCCAGGUGUGUCCCAGGUGUGCCCUCCCCACUCCAGGUGUGUCCCAGAUGUCCCCAGGGGUGUCUCAGGUGUGUCCCAAUGUCCCUAAAGGGUCCCCAGGUGUGUCCCAGGUGUGCCCUCCCCACUCCAGGUGUGUCUCAGGUGUCCCCAGGCUCAUCCCAGGUGUCCCCCGAUGUCCCC